rnacentral:ncRNA from 1 species
CUCGUUGUACGACCAACGAUAGCCUAGGAAGACAUGCGUCACUGGUAACGGUGGGGUAUGAAGCUUUUCCGACAAUGUAGCCCCCACAUGGGUGUGCUCUCGUCGCGAGACGGGGUGCAGAUGCUCGGAGCAGUACCGGGUUGAGGCG